rnacentral:rRNA from 1 species
GACGAACCGUGCGAACGUUGUUCGGAAUCACUGGGCUUAAAGGGCGCGUAGGCGGGCUGACAAGUCUGGGGGUGAAAUGCCGCGGCUCAACCGUGGAACUGCCUUAGAUACUGUCGGCCUCGAGGAAGGUAGGGGCUGCGGAACUGUAGGUGGAGCGGGUGAAAUGCGUAGAGAUUACUAGGAACACCAAUGGCGAAGGCAGCUUGCUGGGCCGUGAUCUGACGCUGAGGUACGAAAGACGUGGGGAGCGAACAGG